rnacentral:rRNA from 1 species
AAGUCUGAUCCAGCAUUCUGUGUGCGCGAUGAAGGUCUUCGGAUUGUAAAGUGUUUUCAGGUGGGAAAAAGAAAGUGACGGUACCACCAGAAGAAGCGACGGCUAAAUACGUGCCAGCAGCC